rnacentral:rRNA from 1 species
GACAGAGGGUGCAAACGUUGUUCGGAAUUACUGGGCGUAAAGCGCGUGUAGGCGGCCCUGCAAGUCGGGUGUGAAAUCCCAUGGCUCAACCAUGGAAGUGCACUCGAAACUGCAGGGCUAGAGUCCUGGAGAGGAAGGUGGAAUGCUUGGUGUAGAGGUGAAAUUCGUAGAUAUCAUUUGGAACGCCAAUGGUGAAAACAGGUAGCUGGGAGUGUGCUGACACUGAGACACGAAAGCCAGGGGAGCGAACGGG